UGGUCGUCGUGAGUGCUCCCUGCAGUAAGGUGGUAUUUGAGUUAAAUUUUAGAAGUGCCUAGACAAAACGUGCUCCUUGUCGUGUGCAGUGACCAUCCCAAACCCUCCGGACUCGUGUAACGCCAUUAGUUCGCCGUGUGUUUCGAGCGAUCCACCAGUGUCGUCAGUGAGUGCCCUAGUACAGCUCCCGUCCGAGCUGCCUUUGUGCUUGCGCCAGAGAAACGUCGGUGCUUCUGUACCUGUUAGACGAAGGAGCGUUUGCCAAGUCUUGAAAGGUAGACAUUGGUGACGGUGUAUACGUUGAAAAGGGCCUGCUGAAGAGGCUGUGCCUGGAUGCUAACAACUCAGGCUUUCACUUCGCGGAGGGCCUCCUUAAAGCUCCUUUUUCAAUAGAAGACGUUGAAGGGAGGUCCUUCUUUGGGCGGCUGUCAAAUGCCUUCCACAGAAGGAUCCGUAGGAUUCCAAGAAGGUCAACACCAUAGUAGACUACACAACGCAACAUUUCAGCCUACUUCCAGGGCAGCUGGAGAACUCGUCCUCCCCACUAGCCCGAGGAUAUUAAAUGGAUGUGUUCAAGCACAAAUGGAAACCCGUCUUCUUCUGUUGCAUGCCACACCUAGCCACUUGGCAAUCACUAUUCGCCAAAGACAGAUAGUUGACAGGAUGUUACUAGCAAGUCGUUAGGAUAUAUAAAGGUGGUUAAUAAAUAGUCAUUGCACAGUUUUUAGGAAGCAAAUAAAAAUUUUAUUCAGAGAUAAUCAAAGCUUACUUUUGCAAUAUAUAAUUGCAAAAGUAAUUACCUCUGAAUAAAAUUUU